GACGAACGCUGGCGGCGUGCCUAAUACAUGCAAGUAGAACGCUGAAGAGAGGAGCUUGCUCUUCUUGGAUGAGUUGCGAACGGGUGAGUAACGCGUAGGUAACCUGCCUUGUAGCGGGGGAUAACUAUUGGAAACGAUAGCUAAUACCGCAUAACAAUGAAUGACACAUGUCAUUUAUUUGAAAGGGGCAAUUUCUCCACUACAAGAUGGACCUGCGUUGUAUUAGCUAGUAGGUGAGGUAACGGCUCACCUAGGCGACGAUACAUACCCGACCUGAAAGGGUGAUCGGCCACACUGGGAAUGAGACACGGCCCAGACUCCUACGGGAGGCAGCAGUAGGGAAUCUUCGGCAAUGGGGGCAACCCUGACCGAGCAACGCCGCGUGAGUGAAGAAGGUUUUCGGAUCGUAAAGCUCUGUUGUAAGUCAAGAACGAGUGUGAGAGUGGAAAGUUCACACUGUGACGGUAGCUUACCAGAAAGGGACGGCUAACUACGUGCCAGCCGCCGCAGUAA
rnacentral:rRNA from 1 species